rnacentral:misc_RNA from 1 species
UCCGGUUUGACACCGGCAGUCUCCCUAGAGUGCCCGGCUUUACCCGCUGGUAACUAAGGACGGGGGUUGCGCUCGUUGCGGGACUUAACCCAACAUCUCACGACACGAGCUGACGACAGCCAUGCAGCACCUGUGUUCCGGGCUCCGAAGAGAAGGUCGCAUCUCUGCGACCGGUCCCGGACAUGUCAAGGGCUGGUAAGGUUCUGCGCGUUGCGUCGAAUUAAUCCACAUCAUCCACCGCUUGUGCGGGUCCCCGUCAAUUCCUUUGAGCUUUAAUCUUGCGACCGUACUCCCCAGGCGGUCUACUUCACGCGUUAGCUGCGUUACCAAGUCAAUUAAGACCCGACAACUAGUAGACAUCGUUUAGGGCGUGGACUAC